UGCUUGCUUCGGAAGCAGAUAUAUAAAAUUGGAACAAUACAGAGAUUAGGAUGGCCCCUGUUCAAGGAUGACACGCAAAUUUGUGAAGCACUCCAUAUUUUU